UGCCAGCCGCCGCGGUAAUACGGAGGGGGUUAGCGUUGUUCGGAAUUACUGGGCGUAAAGCGCACGUAGGCGGAUUAGUAAGUUAGGGGUGAAAUCCCGGGGCUCAACCCCGAAACUGCGUCUGAAACUACUGAUCUAGAAUCUCGGAGAGGGAAGGGGAAUUUCAUGUGUAGGGGUAAAAUCCGUAGAGAUAUGAAGGAACACCAGAGGCGAAGGCGCCUUCCUGGACGAGUAUUGACGCUGAGGCGCGAAAGCGUGGGGAGCAAACAGGAUUAGAUA
rnacentral:rRNA from 1 species